GUCAAUUACCCUAUCCCUCAAUUACCCUUAUUCUUCUACUCACCCCAAACCCACUUCAUCACUCAGGUCUCUAAGCUUCUCUUCCACCACUUCUCACAAUGUCUUCUCCACAGGUUUGAUUUCGAUGAGCCCUGUUGUGAGGCCGACUCAUCUCUCUCUCUCUCUCUCUCUUUCUCUCUCUCUCUCUCUCUCGCUAUUUUGUUUGGGGACAGUUUUUGUUCAGUGUGGUUCUUCUGUAUGCUAUUGAGACGGUUCAAAUGAUUGCAUAUAUAUGAUGUGGGUAUUCUAGGGCUUCACUCUGUCCGAUUGGUUUUGAGGAUCAGGUAGUUGUUUGAGGAUCUUGAUUUCCCAACUGUGCACUGCGUUCUGAGCUUCGGAUUCAGAGAUAGAUAGGCAGAGAAAGUGAUGUCGUUGGGAUUUUCUGUUGAAGAUCAGGAAGGGUGUGACAGAGGUGCAAAAAUUUGUCAGGCUGAAAAGUUUAGGAAGGGUGCUUGUGAAAAGUAAGUGAGUUGCU